UACGUAGGGUGCGAGCGUUAAUCGGAAUUACUGGGCGUAAAGCGUGCGCAGGCGGUUUUCCAAGACAGAUGUGAAAUCCCCGGGCUACAACUGGGAACUGACAUUCAAAACUGACGUAGACUAGAGUAUGGUAGAGGGUGGUGGAAUUCCUGGUGUAGCGGUGAAAUGCGCAGAUAUCAGGAGGAACACCGGUGGCGGAAGGCGGGUCUCUGGGCCGUAACUGACGCUGAGGAGCGAAAGCGUGGGGAGCGAACAGG
rnacentral:rRNA from 1 species